CAUUACUGAGUGAGGGCCCCUCGGGGUCCAACCUCCCACCCGUGUUUAACGAACCUUGUUGCUUCGGCGGGCCCGCCUCACGGCCGCCGGGGGGCAUCCGCCCCCGGGCCCGCGCCCGCCGAAGCCACCUGUGAACGCUGUCUGAAGUAUGCAGUCUGAGACAAUUAUUAAAUUAAUUAAAACUUUCAACAACGGAUCUCUUGGUUCCGGCAUCGAUGAAGAACGCAGCGAAAUGCGAUAACUAAUGUGAAUUGCAGAAUUCAGUGAAUCAUCGAGUCUUUGAACGCACAUUGCGCCCUCUGGUAUUCCGGAGGGCAUGCCUGUCCGAGCGUCAUUGCUGCCCUCCAGCCCGGCUGGUGUGUUGGGCCCCGCCCCCCUUCCCGGGGGGGCGGGCCCGAAAGGCAGCGGCGGCACCGCGUCCGGUCCUCGAGCGUAUGGGGCUUUGUCACCCGCUCUUGUAGGCCCGGCCGGCGUCAGCCGACCCCCUCAAUCUAUUUUUUCAGGUUGACCUCGGAUCAGGUAGGGAUACCCGCUGAACUUAAGCAUAUCAAUAAGCGGAGGAAAAGAAACCAACCGGGAUUGCCCUAGUAACGGCGAGUGAAGCGGCAAGAGCUCAAAUUUGAAAGCUGGCCCCCUCGGGGUCCGCAUUGUAAUUUGCAGAGGAUGCUUCGGGAGCGGUCCCCAUCUAAGUGCCCUGGAACGGGCCGUCAUAGAGGGUGAGAAUCCC
rnacentral:rRNA from 1 species